rnacentral:rRNA from 1 species
UACGUAGGGUGCAAGCGUUGUCCGGAAUUAUUGGGCGUAAAGAGCUCGUAGGCGGUUUGUCGCGUCGGCUGUGAAAUCCCGGAGCUCAACUCCGGGUCUGCAGUCGAUACGGGCGGACUUGAGUUCGGCAGGGGAGACUGGAAUUCCUGGUGUAGCGGUGAAAUGCGCAGAUAUCAGGAGGAACACCGGUGGCGAAGGCGGGUCUCUGGGCCGAUACUGACGCUGAGGAGCGAAAGCGUGGGGAGCGAACAGG